GGAAUAUUGGACAAUGGGGGCAACCAUGAUCCAGCCAUGCCGCGUGCGGGACUAAGGCCGUAUGGGUCGUAAACCGCUUUUGUUGGGUAGCAAUAAGGUGUACGUGUACACCGAUGAGAGUACCUGGCGAAUAAGCAUCGGCUAACUCCGUGCCAGCAGUCGCGGUAAUACGGAGGAUGCGAGCGUUAUCCGGAUUUAUUGGGUUUAAAGGGUGCGCAGGCGGAUUGGUAAGUCAGUGGUGAAAUACCCGCGCUCAACGUGGGCCGUGCCAUUGAUACUGCUGGUCUGGAGUACUGUUGCCGUGGGAGGAAUGGGUAGUGUAGCGGUGAAAUGCAUAGAUAUUACCCAGAACACCGAUUGCGAAGGCAUCUCACGAAGCAGUUACUGACGCUGAGGCACGAAAGCGUGGGGAUCGAACA
rnacentral:rRNA from 1 species